GACGAAGGGGGCAAGCGUUGUUCGGAAUUACUGGGCGUAAAGCGAGUGUAGGUGGUUGUCGUAGUCAGGCGUGAAAGCCUUGAGCUCAACUCAAGAAAUGCGCUUGAUACUGGGCAGCUAGAGGACCGGAGAGGAUAGUGGAAUUCCCAGUGUAGUGGUGAAAUACGUAGAGAUUGGGAAGAACACCAGUGGCGAAGGCGGCUAUCUGGACGGUUCUGACACUAAGACUCGAAGCGUGGGGAGCAACAGG
rnacentral:rRNA from 1 species